AACCAUUUGAAAACUUAUAAAUUGAAUUGUGGUUAGGUAGAAAAAGGACAUAUAUAUACUUCACAAAAUAAUAAUGAUAAAACUUAGAUCCAAAGCAAAUAUGUUAUCUUUCCGCCUCUACCUUCACAAAGUCAAAAGUCAAUCCCAAGUAAGUCUCAAAAGACAACCCCAAGUAAAUCUUACCCCUAUAUUUCUAAUUGUCUGCAGCAAGUCGCCUUCAUUGAUGCUGCUAAAGGCUUCCAAGAGCUCCUUAAGAAUAGGGGCUGCUUCUCUUUUCGAUCGGUGAUUCUCUUGUUCGUCUUUUGGUUGCCGGCUGGAAGAUGAAUUGGUCGACCUCUUUUCCUCGGCUGCUCAGAAGAUUCUCCAGACAUGCUUUGGAUGUGAUGAAAUAAGCAAUAGACAGGAUGAAGAAACAAGAAGUUGACAGAAUGAAGAAACAAGACGUUGAAACUUUAAUCAACCGACGUGAUUUACAUGAGACUAAGCUCUGGAGUUUAGAAUAAAAAGUGGUAACUGUUAACUAACUAUACUAACUACUAACGACCAACUGCUAACAGUUACAAGGAUAGACCAAGAAGCUUUAACACCACCAUUUAGCCUUUAGCUUUAGCUGCUAUGAAUCACAAUGUAAUAAGCUCUGGAUUUUUUUUUAUUUCCUGCUCUCUCUUUUUUAAUCUAUACUACUCUUACUUGUUA